rnacentral:rRNA from 1 species
GCCCGCACAAGCGGUGGAGCAUGUGGUUUAAUUCGAAGCAACGCGAAGAACCUUACCAGGUCUUGACAUCCUCUGAAAACCCUAGAGAUAGGGCUUCUCCUUCGGGAGCAGAGUGACAGGUGGUGCAUGGUUGUCGUCAGCUCGUGUCGUGAGAUGUUGGGUUAAGUCCCGCAACGAGCGCAACCCUUGAUCUUAGUUGCCAUCAUUAAGGUGGGCACUUUAAGGUGACUGCCCGUGACAAACCGGAGGAAGGUGGGGAUGACGUCCAAUCCUCCUUCCCCUUAUGACCUGGGCUACCCCCGUGCUUCCAUGGGCGGUACAAAGAGCUGCCAGCCCCCGAGGUGCAACUAAUCUCAUAAAACCGUUUUCAGUUCGGAUUGUAGGUUGCAACUCCCCUUCCUGAAGCUGGAAUCCCUUAGUAUCGCGGAUCUUCAUUAUAUAUAGAAACG